GACGAACUGUCCAACCGUUAUUCGGAAUCACUGGGCUUACAGAGUUCGUAGGCGGUCUGGAAAGUUGGGUGUGAAAUCCCUCGGCUCAACCGAGGAACUGCGCUUGAAACUACCAGACUCGAGGGAGAUAGAGGAAAGCGGAACUGAUGGUGGAGCGGUGAAAUGCGUUGAUAUCAUCAGGAACACCGGUGGCGAAGGCGGCUUUCUGGGUCUUACCUGACGCUGAGGAACGAAAGCCAGGGGAGCGAACGGG
rnacentral:rRNA from 1 species